UGCAUCGAUGAAGAACGCAGCGAAAUGCGAUACGUAGUGUGAAUUGCAGAAUUCCGCGAAUCAUCGAGUCUUUGAACGCAAGUUGCGCCCGAGGCUUGUCCAAGGGCAUUUCCGCUAGAGCGUCACCGCGCCCCCACCGAUCCACCCCCAUUCACGUGGGGAGUCGGUUCGAGUGAAAGUGGCCAUCCCAGUGGGCCGCCUCGCGUCGCCGCGAAGGCAGUUCUUAAGGGUUGGCUGAAAUGGAGGGAAUUGGGCCGCCGUGGUGGCGCAGUCCGCAAAUCGGGUGAUUUUUUGGGCUCCUCCCAGCGGGGAGCCCUUAAUUUUUCUAAGUGCGUGGCUGCGUCCCGUCCCCCGAUUGGCUUCAUGAGGAGUCGGUUGGUUUUGUGGUGGUGGUUACCUCACGAUUCGGCUGCAGGUCUUGCGCGGCCCCGCGGGGUCGCGCGUCACGCAUCAGACCUCUAAUCGGAAAAGACUACCCGCUGAGUUUAAGCAUAUCAAUAAGCGGAGGA
rnacentral:rRNA from 1 species